rnacentral:lncRNA from 1 species
GAAAGAUAAUUUAUAUCAUAUAAGCUUAAACAGGUGCAUCACAUAUGUGAAGUAGAUGCAUAAGAGGCAUCAUUUGUACAAAGCUACCAUGUCUAGUACUAGAAUAAAAAGUAGAAAUUAUACUACUAUUAGUAGAUGGCACACUCCUAGAUAAGGUGCUAUUAUUAUACAAAAUAGUUGAACCAGAGAGUGAUUGUGCUGAAGUCCUAGAGUCAUUCCUAACUAGUCGUCGUUGUAACGUGCCCUGUUGAUCUUAUUGGUAAGAAGGCAUAGAAAAAGAUGGUGGUCUUCCAAAAAUUUUUCAUUGCUCCUUUGAAUGAAUGGAUCCAUAUGUAGCUAGGCUAUCAGCAACACAAUUUUGCUCUCUAUAGAUGUUUUGUAGUGGUGGACUAUCCAGCUGUAAGAGUAUGAACCUGCAGUCAUUAAUAAUAUUAGUAUAUUGCAUUGUAGGUGAGUUAAACAUACCUAUUAUUGCACGAGCAUCAGUCUCGAUAAUGAGUGGUGUAAGAUAUUGUUGUACAGUAAUUUUGAGUCCCAUGAGGAGAGCAAGAAGUUCAGUUUGAACACUUGUUCCUUGUUUUGCGGUUCCUGUAAAUCCUAUAAUCCAAUUUCCUUGUAUAUUUCAAAACACACCACCAAUGCCAUUUUUGCCCUUAUCCGGGGAACAAGACCCAUCAAUAUUCAGUUUAUAAGUGGUUAGUUUGGUGGGUACCAUUUUAUAUAAAGAGGUGUCAAAGAACGAUGUUUUAUAGAAGAAUUUGUUAAGAAGUAAAACUCAACAGAUGUUUUUAUAAUAAAAGAUAUAUUGAGAGUGGCUUUUUGGUGUUCUAGUAUUUGUUUAUUUCUUACUAUCCAAAGGUACCCCGGAGCAAACGGAAUUAGUGUUGUAUAAAGAAUAUUAUGAGAGGUGGAUAAUGAGGGGGUGUGUAUAAGUUGGUAUAACCAACUUAGAUUAGUAUGUUGCGACGUAGGAGAGCUAGUGAUAGUAGUUGGGACUCUUAGGGCAGUCCAAAGUUGUCUAGCAUUAGAACAGUCAAAAAAUAAAUGGAGUAUUGUUUCAGGGCUUAUGUUGCAUUGCUGGCAUACGACUGAAUUAAUCAUACCUAGUCGUGCGAGAUACGUGGUUGUUGGAAGUCUAACAUGGCAAAGUAGCCAUAAGAAGAAAGUAAUUUUUGGUGGAAUGUUGAGUUUCCAUAUCCACCUAUAGGAUGUGAUCGGGGUAUGCUAAUAGGAUGUGUAAUUUUUAAUAAAGUAUUAUAUAUAGAUUUGGUUGUAAAGAUACCAUUUUCUGUUAGAGCCCAUCAAAUUUGAUCACACGUUGCAGGUGUGGUAGGAAUAUAAAUAUUGGUGAUUAAAGAAUGUAACUGUGUUGGUAAAGUGAAAGGUAGGGUGUCUAAGUGCCAAGUAUUUAUAGUAGUAAUUUAAAACUAAUUUUCUGCCCGUAUUUUAUCGUAGAGGUCCAUGUAUAUAGUUACAGAGUGUAUUAUUUUGGAUGAUCCAGGGAUCAGUCCAAAACCUAACAUGUUGUCCCGUCGCAGGAUUCCAUUUAUACCCUAAACGACAAUAUGACCAUCCUUUCAUAAUAUUAUGCCAAGUAUAGGAACCUUGGACUUUUAUCAAAUUUUGUGGUUGUAGAUUAAUAUGUAAUAACACUUGUGCCCACAGUUGAUGUGGGUUGUUAAACAAUCUCCAUGCAAGACUUGCAUGUAAUGCCUGGUUCUUGAUACUCAGGUUUUGUAUACCUAAGCCCCCUUGGUGAAUAGGUUGUGUAACUGUAGACCACUUAAUCAAAUGAAGUUUUUUCUUUUGUGGUGUUGUACCCCAAAGAAAAUUUCGUUGAUACCGAUUAAGGUAAGUAAUUAUAUAAGAAAGGAUUUUUAUAUAUUGCAUCAGAUGAUAUGGAAGGUGGUUUAAAGUAGAUCUAAUUAGAGUAGCCCUUCCUGCCUUUGUUAAAAAAGUUGUCUUCCAACAUGCUAGUUUGUUUUUAAAAUUGUCCAGUAGAAAUUGGUAAUCCCUUUUUGAUGAUUUAUUUAUAAAUAUAGGAAAACUUAAAUACCUUCCAAAACUUUUACCUUUAUUCAUAUGAAAUAGUUGAAGAAUAGUUUGUCUGAUAUGAGGUUUGCAAUUCUUUGAGAAAUAGAUUUUGGAUUUCUCAAAAUUGAUAGUUUGACCUGGCUGGUGUGUAUACUGAGUGAGGGUAUGAAAAAUUGAUUGACAUGUCGCAGCAGUAAUUUGAGAUGUAAGGAUAAUGUCAUCAGAAAAUAACAAAUGGGAUAGUUGAAGUCCUUUUUUGCUAAGGAAAAUGGUAUCCACGCCUGAUAAUCAACUACUGUGUUUAUGCUUCUUGAUAGCAUUUUCAGACAUAAAAUAAACAGAUACAGUGAUAAGGGGUCUCCCUGUCUAAUGCCUCUUGUGGGUGUAAAAUAAUCAGUUGGAUUACCAUUAAUUAAAAUUGAAGUAGAAGUAGUAGUAAUGCAGGACAUAAUUAAUUUAAUAAUAUCUUUGGGGAAAUUUAAGGUUACUAAUGUGUUAUAAAUGAAAGACCAUUCUAAUUUAUCGAAAGCUUUUUCAAGGUCCAUCUUAAGAAGCAUAUUUAAUUUAUUACCCUUCAUUUUUUGAAAAUUAUGAAUGACCUCUUGUACAAUUAUAGCAUUAUCAACAACUUUUUUUUUUUGGAAGCUAGAGUGACUAGGAUGAAUAAUGCGCUCCAGUAUUGGUUUUAAUCUGUUCACAAUAAUUUUUGUAAUAAUCUUGUAAAUGGUAUUACAAAGAUUGAUAGGUAUGUAUUGUGAUAUCGUGGAUGUAUUAUCAGUUUUUGGGAUUAGACUUAUGAAAGUUGUGUUAAUUGAAGGAUCAAUAUGGUAAUCAUGAAAAACAUGAUGGCAGAAAUAUUUAACAGAGUCUUCUAUAGUGUCCUAAUAUUUUUGGUAAAAUAAUGGGUGAAGACCAUCAGGUCCAGAAGCUUUUAGCGGUUGAAAAGAUUUUAUAGCAUUCGUAAUUUCAUCAUCUUGUAAAGGAUGUAUUAAGAAAUGUUGAUCCUCUCUUGUUAGGACAUUACGAGGAAGGACAAUGUGUUUUGAAUAGAAGAGAGUUUUUGUUGUGGUGAACAAAUUCUGAUAAAGUUGAAUAAUAUUCUCUUUUACUUGAUGGGGAUUUGUAAUCCAAUUUUCACCUUGAUCUUGAAUUGUUGUAAUUUGAUUAUGUCUUCUACGAUUUAUAGUAGUUAGGUGGAAAAACUUUGUAUUUGCGUUACCAUUAUUUAACCAAGUAAUAUAGGGAUUUUAACUUACAAAAGUCCUCCUCAAGUCUUAGGAUUUGAUUAUAUUCCAUUUGUAAUUGAUGUUCUAGGUUCUGUAGGAAGAUACUAGUUGGAUAAUGAGUGAAAGAUUGAAGACCACCUAAUCGAGCAAGUAUUUUCCUUUUCCUUUUAAAAAUGUUACCAAAAGUUGAUGUGUUCCAUUCUUGUCCUAUAGUAGUAAAUUUGUUUAUAGCUGGUAUUAGAUGUAAAUUAUCCGUCCAGGCUUGUUUAACAACAGAAGGGAAAGAAGGGUGCGUAGUCCAAAUUGUUUCAAAUCGAAAAAUAUUUUUACAAGGCAAAAGCCUAUAUUGUAGUUCAAGUUUAAGGGGACAAUAGUCUGAAAGGGUACGUGGUAGGUGUGUCACCAUUGCUUCGGGGAAGUGAUUAGGCUAGUUAUAAUUAGCAACAAUACGAUCAAUACGUUCAAGUAUAUUAGCCCCAUUAUGCCUCCCAUUAGUCCAGGUAUAACGACUUCCUUUAUAUCCUAAAUCGACUAAAUGGCAAUAGUUGAAAUAGUCUAGUAGUUUAUUUGAAUGUGGAUUAUUAAUAGGAAGGCCACCAAAUUUAUCAGUAUCAUGUGUUAUUUCAUUAAAAUCUCCCCCUAGGAUCCAUGGACCUUUGUAAUUAUCAUAAACACACAUUAUAUUUUUCCCAUAAGGAUUUUCUAUUUACUAAAUGAGUACUAGAAUAUAUGGCCGUGAAUAAAAAUUUAAAACGAAAAGGGUGCACCUGAAUAUGACAAUGUAUCUCCUGUGCAGUAGUUGCCACAUGUUCAACUUUAAGAACAUUUGAGAGCCAUAAAAUGGCUAUUCUCCCAGCCUGUCCUAUGGCAGCUACCUCGAUCAAUCCAUUGAAGUUGAUGUCCUCCUUCAUGUUUUGAUGAGUUUGAUAGUGAGUUUCCAAAAGAACAACCAAAGAGGGCAUGUUUUAGUCGAGUAAAGGGCACAAAUUUCUUCUAAAGUCGGCUGAUUGGGCCCCUCUACAAUUCCAAAUGAUAAAGUUCAUAUUAUUGUUGUCUGAGUCGAGCAUGUGAUUGCUCCUUGGAUUCCUCCAACUACUUCUGCUCUCUCUUAGCGAAGAUGAAAGGUGGGAAGUAGGAGCAUGGCUUAUUUGCCUACGUCUGGAUUUGUUGUGGGCCUUAUUUGAAAAGAUACAUUCAUUAGCCUUUGAGGACACCUUGUGUAUAUUUUUCUUUCGUAUUCCUCCUUCUGAACAAACACUUUGAUCCCAUCUAGACAUGCAUGAACUGGACGUGUUUCUCUAUUGUAGACGAUGGCUGCUUCGAGUUUUGCCUGGAAGUUCAUGUCUUGUUCGGGUGAAUUGGGAUGGUGGGGUGAUGACUGGGUUGGUGACGGAGUGGGAGUCGGAGGUGUUAUUGGUUCUAAUAUUGGGAAAUGUGGUUCUGGAAGCACGUAUGGUUGAAUCCAAGGGGUUGUUGGAGUUGGAGAAGGGUAGAAUGGUAGUUGGAUGAGGUGUGGAUAAAGUUGAGUGGGAUCCCAAUAUGUUGUUGGGAGAUUGAGUGGGUGAUAGGGUGCAAGUUGGGGUGCUUGCAUCAUCGACCAAUGGUACCUUCCAUGCAUAUUCGUGCCUAGUUGCAUUCCCUCCGCAACUAUUUGAGCAAGAUCCCUUGGAUUGUUGAUUAGAAUGGUGACUUCUUGUUGGUUGACCUGCAUUGUGAACGUUAAUGCAUGGUCUUGAAGUCCUACCUAUAGCCAAGAGACUGGAGUGGGUGUUGCCGGAAGUGUCUGGGCAGUGUAGAUAAUUGUGUUUGGCUCCAUGAUCAAGUGUGAGGGAGGAAGGGAGUAUGGAGUUGGAGUUUGAUUUUGUUGUAGCUGGUUGAUGUUCUGCCUGGUUAGGUUGGUGGAGGGAUUCUUAAAUGAUUGAGAUUUUGUGGAUACAUCUUGGAAAUUGAGAGAAGUGAGAGAAGGAUUGAUUUGGUGUAUUUGUUCCGGAUUUGAACAAUAAAUUGUAGAAGCAACAAUCUGAGUGGUGGAUAUAGGCGGUUUGAUUGAUGGAGUUGGAAAGUGUAUAUUUGACCGGGCUGAAGAGAUGAUAGUGGAAGCAUCAUGAUAGGCUAUUUGCAUGGGAGCUAUAGUAGGAUUUUUGGAGCUUGAUAGUUUACUGUUUGGGACGGUUGAUUCACUUUUAUUUGUACUGGGUGUAUUUUGUUUUAGGUUAUGUGUUGUGCCUAAGUUGGUAGUAGUGUUGGAGAAAGGUGGUAUUUCUUGCAUGUGGGAAUUGGCGAUGUGACUCUUUGCAUGUGUUGUGAUAGGUGUUUUUGUGUGGAAAUUUUCUAAUUGGGCCGAGUGAGUAAUUGGUUGUAGUAAUGCUUGAGUGGAUGCUGAAGGAGGUGAAGUAGGGUUUGACAGUUGGCUAAUUAAGGAGCGAUCAUCUUUAGAGUCAUUUUGAAACAGCUUAACAAAUUUAUUAUUGUUAAGAGAGUAAGAUGUAGAGGUAGGUUCAGUUAUAUUGAAAUUAGUACAAGUGUUAAUAUGAUUAAUAGAUAAUUUAGUAAAAGGAAGAGUAUUAGGAGUAGGUAACAAGUUUAAAUCAUACCUGAUUGGCAUGUUGGAUUUACUAACAACGCGGGCAUUUCUGGGGUUUGAUUACUUUUGUAGGAGUUCAUUAUCCUUAUUGACUUCUUAGGAAAUUGCACAGUCUUCCAUUUAUCAGUAGUUUGUAGGUUAGUAGUAGUAGUAUGAGGGUUAGUGUUCAUAGUUUGAUUCAUUAUAGAGAUAUCAGGAUUAUUUUCUUUAAGUAGAUAAGUACAAACUCUUUGAUUGUUCCCUAUCCGUUCACAUUUCAUACAUAGAAAAUUUAAUCCGUCAUAUAAUAUAAUUUGCUUGUGAUUACCAAUAUAGACAUGAGUUCGUAGUGGUUGGUCCAAAGGUACCUCAACACAUCUUGCAUAUCUUUCGCGUGUUGUUGAAGAGGUGCAUGUAUCAACAGUUAAUAGUUUUCCAAUUUUGUUUCCCACUUGUUGUAGUAUCUGAAAAUCAUAGAAUUUAGUUGGUAGUUCAGGUAAACGCAGCCAAAUAGCAGAGUAAGUUAUCUUUGUUUCAAAGUCCAUGAACUUUGGUUCCUAUUAGCCAACAGAUAAGAAAUGAUUGAGUACAUACCAAGGUCCAUCCUGUAUAGCAUGAAUCUUGUUCUCCUCUUUCUAGAAUUUAAGUAGGAAAAAAUCAGAUCCUAAAUCUAUAAGUGGUAGAUUUUCAGUUGGUUUCCAUAAAUCAUAUAUUUGUUUCCUAAGGAGUUGAUGUCCAAUUUUUCGUCCAUAUAAUUUUAUAAUAACUGCAUGUUUUCAUGGUUUAUAUAUUUUAGCCUUUUCUUCAGUAGAUAGGGGAAUGAAAAUGGUUAGGUCAGUGAGAGCUUCCAUUUCAUCAUUAAACACCAUAGGGUGGUGUAGUGGAGCACUUAGGGUAGAUGUUGAUGGUGUAAUAUCAUUGGAAAACAAGGUAGAGAGGUAUGUUUUGUUGGCAGCUUGGGUUGGAGUUCCCAACUUAUCAGUUGUAUCAAUAUUCAUAUCGUUCUCUGAGUUGAUGAAGGAGGAGUUUUGCUGUGUUUUGGAUGAUAUUGGGGAUGAAUUCGAGUGUAUGUCAGGUGAUUUGGGUGGUGUAGGAGAUGAAGAUGCAUACAAUGGAGAGUCAUUGUAGAGAGAAAACUUCAUAAGGUACUUUACCCACCAGCCAAUAAUUACCAAGUACAAGAUCUUGCAAAGAAAACACUUUCACUUUCUCUAUAUUUACUCUUAAACUUUUCUGUUAUAUGCGACUUCCUCAAAAAACUAGUGUCAGCCAAAUUCCCAAGAUACUGAACUUACUCUAACUUAGAGAAACUAUUAGCUUUCUUAUUUUUAUGGGUAUAAUCCGAAGGACUUAUCCGUUCUUGUGACCUUCUCACUCGCCCUUUCUCGUUCUUACUCCUGUCAUAAAACUUUGUCGCUUUACUAUACUUUAUCUUGGGACCUAUACAUAUCUAUUUUUUACUUUCGCAACCUUCCUUCCACUUGCUUGCACCAUAGAUUUCCUUAUGUUAUUCUGGAACAUCAAGCGAGACAUCACAUCGUCUCUAACACUUAUUUACUCUCUUGACUAGAUCUCUCAAUACUUAAAAACCAUAGGCUAGAAGGUACGCCACUGACGACACUGCUAUCCUUCCUGGAUAUUGAAUCCUAGUGCUUCUAGCCUUCUAUCUGAAGCAUGGACUAUUCACGAUCUUCUGCCUUUGAGUAUCUUGUACGUUGUUCACCUUUACCUUACCUUACCUUAAAAUCUCGCAUCGUAUCUUUUAUCUUUUUCUUGACCUCCCUUCCACAUAGGUAUAAUUCACGUCCAUAACUUGAAGCUCUAUUAUAAUACUUGCACCUCUGGUGCCUAUACAAUCUAGUGGGAGCUCCAUACUGAAUUCUAAUUGAGGCAGGUAUUUUUCUAACUAGCUUUAUCGUAGAGCCAUUAUAGAAUAUGGUUGUUGUACUAUCUCUUUGGUACCUAUGAUAUUAAGAGUGAUCCUAUAAUGUUCUCAAUCACGAUUUCUAUAAUUUUUGUGGUCCAAUAAUCAUAUUCUUGAUUUACUUCAUUGAUGUAUCUCCUUAGUUUCCUCCUUUUUUUUAUCAACCUUUAUAUAGGGUUAAGCUACCUCCCGAUCUGCGGUUCAUGGUAUUAGUUAUUACGUUCAGCCUUUCAUGGGCGCUGAGGAAUAUCCAUGAUACAAUCCUUUAAUAAUUCAAUCCUUCUUCUAUGACCUGGCUUCAAUUCUUUCUUUUAACUUAUACCGGAAUCUUCUACGGCUAUAUAUGUUGCAUGUAUAGAACUCCAAACUCUUAAGUGAUUUUAUUACGUAACUAACUCUAGAUCAUGAAUCGAAUAAUUCCUUUUGUUCCAUCUCAACUUUCUUCAAACGUAAACAAUUACUUUUCCCGGUCUUUCUGCCCCCUUCUUGCAUGCAUACUUAGCUUAUCUUAGUUCCCAUGCAUAUUGGAAUUCCAUACAACUCAUAUGAUCUUGAAUAUCACUUAUGAUUUUACUUCCCGUUCAUUAGCCAUAGUAGUUUUCUUAUGGAGUGCAUACAAUGUUGUUGCGAGACUAUUGUUAUAAGACCAUUUCCUCCUUAGGUCACCCAGCUUAGGUUGAAUCCUUCUUCUUUAUAUCCUCAGCUAGUCUUUUGUUGUAGUACUUAGAUAGAACCCUUGACUCUUGUAAAGCUAUGAGCUUAUUAUGGACCUUUUGAUGUCCUUCCUUGACUAUAAUUAUCUGUAGUUGCUUACCUUCAUACCCUUGUGCUUGUAGGGUUGCUUUUGAGCUGAUAUUUAUCUGUUUUCCCAGUGGCUUUCUCUUUUAUUUCAGUAACACUCAUAUGGUACCUUUAACUACCCCGACUCCUAUCUGAAUAUAUCUUAAGUAUUAUAAUGGCAUUAUUGCGAGAAUGAAUUCACUAUAUUGGGUUUUACUAUGGUUAUCUUGCACGAUGAUGAUGUCUCUGUGUCCUCUUGUCUACCCAUUAACUAGGCUCUUUCUGAAUCAAGUACUAACUACUGGUUUGCCCAUUAUCAUAUCAAUAUUUCACGUAAUCUUUCUUGGGUUACUUCCUUUAUCUUAACUUACGUCUCCUACUGGCUCCUUAUUUAUCAAUAACAUCUGGGGCGGGAACCCUUAAUUCCUCUCCUUGACGUGGUGUUUGCAUAAUAUUCUGGAAUCAUAUCAUAUCAGUAGGCUCUGAAUAAGUGCAAUCUUAUCCCUUUUUUAUUUUUUAUCGCAUCCUNNNNNNNNNNNNNNNNNNNNNNUCCCCCCUUUAGGGUAGUACUAUGGAGCUACGUCGACCUGCCUAUAGAUAUUUUUCCUCUUCAUCUUUGGCGUCUUUUCACAUCACCGAUAACCCUCAAUCGCCUUGCGGUAAUCCUUCUAUAUCAAGGAUAACAAAUUUCCUUACUCAUGAGGAAAACACCUAGUAACUGGCACCUACAGUCCUUUAAGCUUAACUUUGCUUACAUUGUUGACUUUUAGGGAUGCGUCUUCCUGAAUUACCAUUCUAUGAAUUCCUCAUGAAUCUUCUUCGGUGGUCCAAUCUAUUAUCGCCGGAACGCAGAUGUUGACUAUUAUCAAAUCACUUAGCCCCUAAUUCAUGUUUAGUUUAUCUUAUUCACCAGCCCAUACUGAUUUCUAUUACUCUGGAGAUUAACUCUCCCUUCUGGUAGUUGCGUUGGAGUCACAAACUUAUUUCUCGACAUGAGGAUAUAACUCUGUGGCCUAUACUCUUUUGUUGUCUCAAGGCCUGGCUCCUCUCGUCUUUUCCUUCACUUGACUAUAUAUCCUAUAAUAACAUCAUUUUUUUCUAUCGUUAUCAUCCAUGCAUCAUAUCUUACUCAUAACACUUUAUUAACAAUUUCUCAUUUCCCGCUAACAUUUAUGUCUAACACUUUAUUUUGAAAAUAUCAAUAGGAUAUUCCUUUGCUUUUAGCUCCCCUUGCUCCAUCUACUGACUCUUCGGGUUGACUAACGUUCUUUCUUUACUAAGGACGGGAGCCAUACUAAGGUAACAUUUAUCCUUUCAAGGCUUCCAAUGCCUAUCAUUAUAGUACUCAAAUCUAGUUGUAUUACUUCAGAGUGAACCAUCUGGGUGUCUCAAGAGGAGAUUUUGUUAGCGCAUUUACAAUAUCCUUCGAAAAUGUCAACUAACGCAAGUAAUCCAACCAUCAUUUUGGGUUACUCUAACCCCAACCGGUUCCUGAUAUUCGUCCUUCUCUUAACUAUUUCAUUUAGCUCCCAUGGAGCAUAAUUGAGAUGUGUGUGACUAAUUGUACAUACCUCUGUUACAAGUGAAUGUAUCUCAAAAUACUUAUAUUUCUCGGAUUGAAUUGUAAAUACUGUUAAUCUUCAUUAACUGGGCACCUCGUACCCUUCUUCACCUUGCUUCUUUUACUUGUUGAAACUUGUGUCGACCUUCCGAUUCUCUUAUUCCUUUCGUCACGCCCGAACCUACGGAGGCGUGGAUAGCACCCGGUGCCGUAGUGGCCCGAGCGAACCACUCUGUAACUUAUUCUUUCCUUUAAUAACUAUCAUGGGCCAACAUGGUGACAAUUCAUAAUAUACAAUUGUAAGUGGGCAAAUGUUAUAUCGAUGAACCAGUGUUCAUAAGACAUGAACACAUAUGGGCCGUCAAGGCCUGUGACAUACUAUACAUAAUAAACAUGUGUCUAUAAAGCCUUUAAGAUUAUUUGACAUCAAAUGGGAUGGGGUACCGGCCUAACCAUAAGUCCGUAGCAAAAUUCUGACACGAAGAUUCAUAGACUCGGCUGCACUCCGAAUGAGAUGGAGCCUUACCGAUCCUUCGCUGAAUGCCAAUCUUCUCUACUAUGAGGGCUCGUCAAACUAAUUAUCUAUAUCAGCAGGCAUGAAUGUAGCGAUCCCAACAAAAGUACAUCAGUACAAAUAAUGUACUGAGUACAUAAAAACCUAAGAAUAGAAUAAUCUACAAAUGGUCAGUAACUCGCAUAUAUUACAUAGGAAAUUGAUAUGAAGAUUAAUAGAGAAACUGUACAUAACUGCUACACACAAAAAAAUAUCUUUCAAAUGCAUGAAAAUCCAUGUAGAAGUAAAGAUAUUUAUAAGCUAUUCUCAAAAGUCAAAACUAUGGAAGAGUUGGCCCCACAACAUUUAUUAAUAGAGAAAGAACUCUUCCUGAUAAGUGAAAGACCUUUUUCCUUAUUUUUAUCAAGUCUUGAAGCAAGUAAUCUUCUAAGUCUUUUAUCAGAAAGUUGAAAGGGUGGUUAGAAAAUAUCAUAUGAUAGUAAUAUUGGGAAACACUUACAAAAUUCUCUCUUUAAGUAAAUUUAUAAGACGUUCUCUUGGGUAAAUUGACGUACCAUCUCUAAUUAUGUACCAUGGGAAAUUUCUGUUUCAAUAAAUUCGUGAGAUAUUCUGAUCUUAGUUUCUUAAUAGUGAAAUUUUAGAGGCUUACACACAAAGAAUGCUUAAAAGGAUCAAUGAGCCUGCUAGCAUUAUUUUGUUCAUGUCGUAUUUAAAGUACGUCGAAGAAACGUGGGUAAAUGACUCAACCUGUAAGUCUGGAUAGCUCCGUAAAUCAUAAAAUAUUUAUAAUUUCAUGCAUAUGCGUGUAUACGUCAUGUAAUGCAUAGAUCUGUACGUACAUAAUAUCAUCAAGUCUCUGAGGGCAUCCCAUCAUAUCAUCUCAGCCACUGUGGGCAAAAUCAUCAACAUAUACCAGCUAAUCAGGUGGUGGUGCGUAUAUAACGCCGUAACCUUUUCCUAUAUCCCAUAUACAUAUACGCGUAUAUGACGCCAUCUGAGUCAUGGGUAAAUGCACGUGUAAGUGAAUGCAAUGCAUGAUAAGUACGUUAAUAAAAUCUCUCGGAAUGUCAUAAGAUCAUUAUACCUCUGAUUAAUAUCAUGAAGUAAACUUUUAUCAACUUACGUAUUUUCUGAGACCCAUGAACAGACGAUAGAAUAAUAAGACAUAUGGGGAAUCAAGAACAUAGGAACCUCUAGUAUUUCUAUGAAUAAAGUAAUUUAUUGAAGUUGUGCAUUUUCUCGUUUUGUUAGAAUCGUAUGGAUCAUGCCAAAAGAAAGAAAGGAUAACAGUAAUAUACCUGAGCCGAUUUUCCUGAGAAAGAUUACACCAAGUCCACAAAUAAGGAUCGUCUAAACUAUUCUUAGUCUCAUUUGGACCUGAGGGAUGCGAUGAUGUUAUUUCACCUUCUAGCAGUUCACAGUGUCAAUGUUUUUCUGCUUUGCGUUUUGCUUUUAAAGAUAAGUCAGUAUUAAAAAUUACCAGAACACGCCCAACUUGCAUCCAAUUGUGCUUCUUCCACCAAAACAUGCAACAACUUUAAAGAUACCUCUUCUUCAAAUCUAUUCCUACAUAGAGAUUCAGAGUGUUUCUCAUAGAAGUUGACAGACACCAAGAUGUUACGUAGGUGCUUUCAGCAUAAGAAAGUAAUGCGCAGUUUAACCACAUAACUGAAAAAAUGUAAUAGCCCUAGUUUGCCAUGCCAACUGCCCAGCAGAGAUAUAUUAAUGUUCAUCAGUUAAAGUUAUUGAAACACACCAAAGCAAAUAAAGGAAAGGACAAAGAGAAGAAUAAAUAG